rnacentral:tRNA from 1 species
GGUGGUGUCGCCUAGUGGCCGAUGGCGCGCGCCUCGAAAGCGCGUAAGGGGGCAACUCCUUCGAGAGUUCAAAUCUCUCCACCACCG